rnacentral:rRNA from 1 species
UACAGAGAGUGCAAGCGUUGCUCGGAUUUACUGGGCGUAAAGCGUACGCAGACGGUUUGGUAGGUCGGUUGUGAAAGCCCCGGGCUCAACCCGGGAACUGCAUCCGAAACCACCUCACUCGAGUAUGGGAGAGGGAAGCGGAAUUCCUGGUGUAGAGGUGAAAUUCGUAGAUAUCAGGAGGAACACCGGCGGCGAAGGCGGCUUCCUGGCCCAUUACUGACGUUCAGGUACGAAAGCGUGGGUAGCAAACAGG